AACGAACGCUGGCGGCAUGCCUAACACAUGCAAGUCGAACGAGACCUUCGGGUCUAGUGGCGCACGGGUGCGUAACGCGGGGGAACCUGCCCUUAGGUUCGGAAUAACUCCCCGAAAGGGGUGCUAAUACCGGAUAAUGUCUUCGGACCAAAGAUUUAUCGCCUUUGGAUGGGCCCGCGUUGGAUUAGCUAGUUGGUAGGGUAAAAGCCUACCAAGGCGAGGAUCCAUAGCUGGUCUGAGAGGAUGAUCAGCCACACUGGGACUGAGCCACGGCCCAGACUCCUACGGGAGGCAGCAGUGGGGAAUAUUGGACAAUGGGCGAAAGCCUGAUCCAGCAAUGCCGCGUGAGUGAUGAAGGCCUUAGGGUUGUAAAGCUCUUUUACCCGGGAUGAUAAUGACAGUACCGGGAGAAUAAGCUCCGGCUAACCCCGUG
rnacentral:rRNA from 1 species